CCUGGAACAUGAAAUACUUUUAUUUACAUUUUUUAUUAAUAUAGUUCCUCUUAUGCCUUGUUUAUGUAGGUGGGUGGAGACUUCUGUUAAGAUGUUUAUAAGUGCUCUUGGCACUAUCAAGACAUCAAGAUAUAAGCCCUGUGCACUGUGCUACUUCUCUGGACUGACAGGAUCGGAAGGGAUAACACAACAAUCCACCCAGCAUAUCUCUAUUGUACAUGUAAAGUUUGGACUCACGUCCUUGACCGGUAAUGGAUGGCAAGUAGUUUAUUAACCAUUGAACUUGCAUUCACCAGAAUGAAUUGGACAAAUAAUUACAACACCUGCAACUGGAGGAUGAGUCAACCCUUGAUGAGAUUCACUUGCUGAGUGAGUUAAAAAAACUGAAGCAGCCCUUAAAGUUACAAACUCAUCACUUCUGAAACAAUCUAGUACUAAUGUGCAAACAGUAAAUAGAAAUGAUCUUCAGAACAACAGCCCAUAACUGUAGAUAAACAGAAAUGCAGGCCACACUACAAAACUGUUUCAAUGUGUUGUUGCCCACCCUCCCACGCCCUUCAGAAUGCAAAUUGCAAACAAUGUAAUCCAAAGGGCAUUUUGCUAAAGCGUGCAAAUCUUGCAUAGCUUAACUAAGCAUAAACUAGGGUGAUGCUAAAAAGAAGACUGAUAUGGAUUCUAUUCUCUAUAUGACCUCAAGAAAGGAUAGGGGCCACUUUAAUUAAUAGCUAUGCAGUAAUAAUACUUAGUAGGCUCCAUCUCCAGUUUCGGUCACUCUGGAACAUUCAUCCAUAUUUAAAAAAUACAUGCCCUGUAUAUUCCCCCCACAUCUCCCUUCUUACCAAAUCUUGUUUUUUCUUUCUACAUAUUUAGAUAAUCUGAUCCUUUCUUUCUUUCCCAUUGUGUAUAGCCUGUAGUUAUCUACUAUAAUAUCCUUUUCUCAGGUGUCCCUAAGACCCAGAUCACUUCCACUCAAUUUGUCCAAUGAUUAUCUUUUUGUCUACUAGUCAAACCAUGCUGCUUCACACUUGAAAGUUCUCUGGACGUAUCAAGUUUAAAUGUGCCAUCCUGUCAAGCCUAGGAACAGCCUCUCAGAGCCCAGCUGUUGUGCCUUGGCAUUUUACUCUAAGCAGUGGUGCUACCGGCAACAAUUCCUUUGAUUGCUUGUAUCACUCUGAAUUUGCCCAGUCUCCCAUAGCAUCACUUCCAAGGUGUCCCACUCCCACUACUCUUCAUUUAGAUAUUUUUCGAAGGCUUGUUCCUCAGUGAGUAAAGAAAGAAAUUGAAAAUAUUAAUUAAAAAAACCUUUAAAGCAGAACAAAUAUGAAUCUCUGCCUUAAAGACUGUUUUUUGGAUAUUUGUCCUCCCAUCCAUGAUCUCACAGAACACGACAACCCCCUUUACAAUUGUAAUUGAACAGCAUAGUGGUGGAGAUGACAGUGACAUCGAGCAAAAAUACUAGGAAAGUUUUUGUACCUCAGCAUGGUGUGCAGCUGCAAACAAGAAAGAGGCUCUAGCACCAUGUGACCAGCGAGGCUGAAGGUCCAAAGGAACGAUUUCAUCAGCUACUCUGACCCUCACCCUUGGCAGACUGCUGUAGCCUAGGGGCACAUUGGAAACCACUAAUCAAGUACCUCUGACGGUAACUCUCCUGCUAUGUUUCUUGGUAUGGUUGAGGCCUUCUGCACCCGUCAAAUGAGAAGGCAAUGAGGGACAAGAGAAAAUGCUUUUGGAGGAAGCCUUGAGGAAACACCAGCCAACAGGACCUGGGUCUUUGGGAAAGAGCUGCUGAGGCUUGCGAGGAGCCAAAGCAACUGUGCUGUACAGAAAAAGUUGGUUUGAUUUAACCUGAUGUUUGAUCUGUGAUGUUGCUUAAAUAACCAGACCUUAAGAAAUGGCAGUGUUUGACUUCCUAGGAGCCGGUUACAAAUUAUGAUGCCCUAAGGAAAAAUGAGGCAACAGGAGAUCAGUUAAGUCUGUUACCAUAAAGGACAUUUUUGACAUUUUGAAACCUGUGAUCAUAAAUUAUCAUAACUGGAAACCAAAAAGCUGGGGAAAGGGAACAAUUCUACACCACUGAAAGCAAAGCUAGAAUUAUCAAGGAAUAACAGUAAGGUUUUUUGAUAAAAGAUAUUUAAUGAUGAUAUACCAACAUUUUCUCUUGUUAUUUCUGAGAAAUUUUGAAGAUGAAAUAAAAUUCAACAUAUCAGAGGGGAGUAGAUUUCAGAUCUAAAUAUCCAGGUAAUUUUAGAAUCAAUUACUACUUACCUCCAUUAUUUUUAAAUUUAAGACAUCUGCCUAUGGGUUUUACAGGUUGAAAAAUCAGAAACUUAAAAAGGGGGAUGAGUUCUUUUAAUGUGAGCUGAAUAGAUCAAAAAUAGUAGCGGCAGUGUUCAUAUGAUGACACUAGAGGGGGUGUGAGGAAAGAAUGAAGAAAGAAGGAAUAGAACAGAAAGACUUGAAGAUCUUACUUAAGUAGCAUCCAGGUUACUUGUACUGAUUACAUCAGUCAAAAUAACCACUUGGUGUUUUCUGCUUUAUCCGGGAAAACACCCAACAAACCAAAACACCACUCCCUCAAAAAAACAAACUACCUGAAAUCAGAGGUGGAAAAAAUCUAUUAGGUCAUCUAGUCCAUCCCCUUGACAAUAGAAGAUAGUUCCCUAUGAACUCUUGAUUUCUCCAUUCUUGCUUUACAUAUUUUCAGUCCUAGUGUAGAUGGGGCUAACAAGCCUCCCUUAAGACAUCUCUUAUGCAAGGUCAGUUACGUGCUUCUCAGCCCUGUGUAUGCAAACAAAAGCACGAAAUAAAUCUUUAUUUCAAGAG